CCUACGGGUGGCAGCAGUGAGGAAUAUUGGUCAAUGGACGAGAGUCUGAACCAGCCAAGUAGCGUGAAGGAUGACUGCCCUAUGGGUUGUAAACUUCUUUUAUAUGGGAAUAAAAUGUUCCACGUGUGGGAUUUUGUAUGUACCAUAUGAAUAAGGAUCGGCUAACUCCGUGCCAGCAGCCGCGGUAAUACGGCGGAUCCGAGCGUUAUCCGGAUUUACUGGGUGUAAAGGGAGCGUAGACGGCAGCGCAAGUCUGAAGUGAAAUGCCGGGGCUUAACCCCGGAACGGCUUUGGAAACUGUGCAGCUAGAGUGCAGGAGAGGUAAGUGGAAUUCCUAGUGUAGCGGUGAAAUGCUUAGAUAUCACGAAGAACUCCGAGUGCGAAGGCAGCUCACUGGACUGCAACUGACACUGAGGCUCGAAAGUGUGGGUAUCAAACAGGAUUAGAUACCCGUGUAGUC
rnacentral:rRNA from 1 species